rnacentral:rRNA from 1 species
CCCUUAGAUGUUCUGGGCCGCACGCGCGCUACACUGAUGCAUUCAACGAGUCUAAAACCUGCUCUGAUAGGGGUGGGUAAUCUUUUGAAUGUGCAUCGUGAUUGGGAUAGAUGAUUGCAAUUUUUCAUCUUCAACGAGGAAUGCCUAGUAAACGCAAGUCAUCAGACUGCAUCGAUUACGUCCCUGCCCUUUGUACACACCGCCCGUCGCUCCUACCGAUUGGAUGAUCCGGUGAGCUAUUCGGACUUUCGCAUUGUCGAUUUUCGGCUUUACGAGGGAAAGUCUCGCGAACCUUAUCAUCUAGAGGAAGGAGAAGUCGUAACA